GAACGCUGGCGGCGUGCUUAACACAUGCAAGUCGAACGGAAAGGCCCUGCUUUUGUGGGGUGCUCGAGUGGCGAACGGGUGAGUAACACGUGAGUAACCUGCCCUUGACUUUGGGAUAACUUCAGGAAACUGGGGCUAAUACCGGAUAGGAGCUCCUGCUGCAUGGUGGGGGUUGGAAAGCUUCGGCGGUUGGGGAUGGACUCGCGGCUUAUCAGCUUGUUGGUGGGGUAGUGGCUUACCAAGGCUUUGACGGGUAGCCGGCCUGAGAGGGUGACCGGCCACAUUGGGACUGAGAUACGGCCCAGACUCCUACGGGAGGCAGCAGUGGGGAAUAUUGCACAAUGGGCGGAAGCCUGAUGCAGCAACGCCGCGUGCGGGAUGACGGCCUUCGGGUUGUAAACCGCUUUCGCCUGUGACGAAGCGUGAGUGACGGUAAUGGGUAAAGAAGCACCGGCUAACUACGUG
rnacentral:rRNA from 1 species